CGGGGUGUAGCUCAGUGGCAGAGCGCUGCGUUCGGGACGCAGAGGCCGUUGGUUCAAAUCCAAUCACCCCGACCA
rnacentral:tRNA from 1 species